CAUUAUCAGUAACAUCAGCAGCAACAACAACUUCUCUGGUGGUUAAAUCAACACCAAAUUCAAUCUUUGUGUCAACUUGUACACAGUUCUGUGGCAACCAGGAUUUCUCCAGUAUUUUAAAAAUAACCUGUGCAGCAUGACUCACGCUAGCUACUUCACUUUGGCCUUUACCAAGUCCAGCACAGCAAAAUUUCACAGCAAUUCACUGUUUCUCAUUACUGGCAGCACCCUUGAAAACAUCUCCACAUUAGAGGCACCUGAUGAUUUUCCAGCAGAAGCCGAGGGGCUGAGAGGUGGAGAGAACCAAAUGGCCAUGUCUAAGACAGCCUUCUGCUGUAAAGGGUUCUACAGGACAUGCUGUACAGGGGAAAGCUCCGGCCACCAUAAGACUUUGAGCACUUGAACUGGGGCUGGUGCAAUUGAGGGAUUAAAAUUUUGAUUUGAUUUAAUUGUAAUUACUCUAUAGUUAGUCUCAAUAGCCUCAUGAGGCUACUGCUUAGCACAGGUCUGGAGCCUCCCUUAGGUCCUGAGAAGGGCAGUGCAGCCACCUGGGAAGUGUGUGGGCUUUGUAGAUGACCAAUGCUCGGUUUGAAUCUUGCCUUGCCCCAUAGUAACCAUGCAAACUUGGUGAAUAAUUCCCCCCUCUGUGUUCAGUUUCUUCAUCUAUAAAAGGAGAAUAAAUAGGGCCAGGUGUGGUGGCUCACACCUGUAAUCCUAGCACUUUGGGAGGCCAAGGCAGGCAGAUCAUGAGGUCAGGAGUUCGAGACCAGACUGACCAACAUGGUGAAACCCCGUCUCUACUAAAAACACAAAAAUUAGCAAGGUGUAGUGGCACGCGCCUGUAAUCCCAGCUACUCAGGAGGUUGAGGCAGGAGAAUCGCUUGAAUCUGGGAGGCAGAGGUUGCAGUGAGCCAAGAUGGCGCCACUGCACUCCAGCCUGAGUGACAGAGUGAGACUCUGUCUCAAAAAAAUAAAUAAAUAAAAGAAUAAAUAAAGUAAAGCCUACCCCAUAAAAAGGUUUCACGUACUGGUGCCU
rnacentral:lncRNA from 1 species